rnacentral:misc_RNA from 1 species
GAUGAAGAACGUAGUGAAAUGCGAUAAGUAAUGUGAAUUGCAGAAUUCAGUGAAUCAUCGAAUCUUUGAACGCACAUUGCGCCCAUUAGUAUUCUAGUGGGCAUGCCUGUUCGAGCGUCAUUUCAACCCUUAAGCUUAGCUUAGUGUUGGGAGACUGCCUAACCGCAGCUCCUCAAAUACAGUUGGCAGAGUGUAUGUGUGCUCUGAGCGUAGUAAUUUAUUCUCGCUUCUGAAAACUAUAUACUGUAGCCACAAACCUAUUAUUUUUUAAUGGUUGACCUCGGAUCAGGUAGGAAUACCCGCUGAACUUAAGCAUAUCAAUAAGCGGAGGA